UACGAAGGGUGCAAGCGUUACUCGGAAUUACUGGGCGUAAAGGGUGCGUAGGUGGUCGUUUAAGUCCGUUGUGAAAUCCCUGGGCUCAACCUGGGAAUGGCAGUGGAUACUGGACGGCUAGAAUGCGGUAGAGGGUAGUGGAAUUCCCGGUGUAGCAGUGAAAUGCGUAGAUAUCGGAAGGAGCAUCAGUGGCGAAGGCGACUGUCUGGACAGAUACUGACGCUGAGGCGCGAAAGCGUGGGGAGCAAACAGG
rnacentral:rRNA from 1 species